AACGAACGCUGGCGGCAGGCCUAACACAUGCAAGUCGAGCGGCAGCACGGGUACUUGUACCUGGUGGCGAGCGGCGGACGGGUGAGUAAUGCCUAGGAAUCUGCCUGGUAGUGGGGGAUAACGCUCGGAAACGGACGCUAAUACCGCAUACGUCCUACGGGAGAAAAGCAGGGGACCUUCGGGCCUUGCGCUAUCAGAUGAGCCUAGGUCGGAUUAGCUAGUUGGUGAGGUAAUGGCUCACCAAGGCGACGAUCCGUAACUGGUCUGAGAGGAUGAUCAGUCACACUGGAACUGAGACACGGUCCAGACUCCUACGGGAGGCAGCAGUGGGAAUAUUGGACAAUGGGCGAAAGCCUGAUCCAGCCAUGCCGCGUGUGUGAAGAAGGUCUUCGGAUUGUAAAGCACUUUAAGUUGGGAGGAAGGGCAGUUACCUAAUACGUAUCUGUUUUGACGUUUACCGACAGAAUAAG
rnacentral:rRNA from 1 species